rnacentral:rRNA from 1 species
UACGAAGGGGGCUAGCGUUGUUCGGAUUUACUGGGCGUAAAGCGCACGUAGGCGGAUCGAUCAGUCAGGGGUGAAAUCCCAGGGCUCAACUCUGGAACUGCCUUUGAUACUGGGUAUCUCGAGUAUGGAAGAGGUGAGUGGAAUUCCGAGUGUAGAGGUGAAAUUCGUAGAUAUUCGGAGGAACACCAGUGGCGAAGGCGGCUCACUGGUCCAUUACUGACGCUGAGGUGCGAAAGCGUGGGGAGCAAACAGG